rnacentral:lncRNA from 1 species
GAAAACUUGACGCUUUCGUUUUUUUCUCGCGCGGUCCCUUGGCCGCUGUGUCUGCAUAGUCGUCGCCCGCAAGUCGGCGGCAUCCUCCGCACCAGAGCGCUUAAAAAAAAGGUGGAAAGAAAAAACCGACAGAGACACAAGCGUACCGGACCUCGGCGACGAGCGGCUUGACAAACAACGGAAAACGGGAAAAAAAAACAGGGAAAGGGACCGAUCGCGAUGGGCCCCCACAGUGUGGACGUUGAUGCCGCGCCGAGUCUGCCCGACAAACUGUGGCACAUAAUCCUCAACGAGGCCCGGCACCUGCGCUUUGUCGUUCCUGCCGUCGUCUUGCCGCAUGGCCGCGAGCCAACGGUGCACUGAUGGCUCGCGGCUUUGCGGCCGGCUGACUGGCCCACCGGCAGUCCAUUUUGGGCCAACGGCCGGUUUCGUUUUGAGUAUCCUGAAUAAAUCGUGCAUUAAUUGUGCUCAAAC